rnacentral:tRNA from 1 species
CAGGUUAAAGCCCUGGUAAGAAUU